GGUUAAGCGACUAAGCGUACACGGUGGAUGCCCUGGCAGUCAGAGGCGAUGAAGGACGUGCUAAUCUGCGAAAAGCGUCGGUAAGGUGAUAUGAACCGUUAUAACCGGCGAUGUCCGAAUGGGGAAACCCAGUGCAAUUCGUUGCACUAUCGUUAACUGAAUACAUAGGUUAACGAGGCGAACCGGGGGAACUGAAACAUCUAAGUACCCCGAGGAAAAGAAAUCAACCGAGAUUCCCCCAGUAGCGGCGAGCGAACGGGGAGCAGCCCAGAGUCUGAAUCAGCUUGUGUGUUAGUGGAACGGUCUGGAAAGUCCGACGGUACAGGGUGAUAGUCCCGUACACCAAAAUGCACAGGUUGUGAACUCGAAGAGUAGGGCGGGACACGUGGUAUCCUGUCUGAAUAUGGGGGGACCAUCCUCCAAGGCUAAAUACUCCUGACUGACCGAUAGUGAACCAGUACCGUGAGGGAAAGGCGAAAAGAACCCCGGCGAGGGGAGUGAAAAAGAACCUGAAACCGUGUACGUACAAGCAGUGGGAGCACCUUCGGGUGUGACUGCGUACCUUUUGUAUAAUGGGUCAGCGACUUAUAUUCUGUAGCAAGGUUAACCGUAUAGGGGAGCCGCAGGGAAACCGAGUCUUAACUGGGCGUUAAGUUGCAGGGUAUAGACCCGAAACCCGGUGAUCUAGCCAUGGGCAGGUUGAAGGUUGGGUAACACUAACUGGAGGACCGAACCGACUAAUGUUGAAAAAUUAGCGGAUGACUUGUGGCUGGGGGUGAAAGGCCAAUCAAACCGGGAGAUAGCUGGUUCUCCCCGAAAGCUAUUUAGGUAGCGCCUCGUGAACUCAUCUUCGGGGGUAGAGCACUGUUUCGGCUAGGGGGUCAUCCCGACUUACCAACCCGAUGCAAACUACGAAUACCGAAGAAUGUUAUCACGGGAGACACACGGCGGGUGCUAACGUCCGUCGUGAAGAGGGAAACAACCCAGACCGCCAGCUAAGGUCCCAAAGUCAUGGUUAAGUGGGAAACGAUGUGGGAAGGCACAGACAGCCAGGAUGUUGGCUUAGAAGCAGCCAUCAUUUAAAGAAAGCGUAAUAGCUCACUGGUCGAGUCGGCCUGCGCGGAAGAUGUAACGGGGCUAAACCAUGCACCGAAGCUGCGGCAGCGACACUAUGUGUUGUUGGGUAGGGGAGCGUUCUGUAAGCCUGCGAAGGUGACCUGUGAGGGUUGCUGGAGGUAUCAGAAGUGCGAAUGCUGACAUAAGUAACGAUAAAGCGGGUGAAAAGCCCGCUCGCCGGAAGACCAAGGGUUCCUGUCCAACGUUAAUCGGGGCAGGGUGAGUCGACCCCUAAGGCGAGGCCGAAAGGCGUAGUCGAUGGGAAACAGGUUAAUAUUCCUGUACUUGGUGUUACUGCGAAGGGGGGACGGAGAAGGCUAUGUUAGCCGGGCGACGGUUGUCCCGGUUUAAGCAUGUAGGCUGGUUAUCCAGGCAAAUCCGGAUAAUCAAGGCUGAGGUGUGAUGACGAGGCACUACGGUGCUGAAGUAACAAAUGCCCUGCUUCCAGGAAAAGCCUCUAAGCAUCAGGUAACAUCAAAUCGUACCCCAAACCGACACAGGUGGUCAGGUAGAGAAUACCAAGGCGCUUGAGAGAACUCGGGUGAAGGAACUAGGCAAAAUGGUGCCGUAACUUCGGGAGAAGGCACGCUGGUGUGUAGGUGAAGUCCCUGCGGAUGGAGCUGAGACCAGUCGAAGAUACCAGCUGGCUGCAACUGUUUAUUAAAAACACAGCACUGUGCAAACACGAAAGUGGACGUAUACGGUGUGACGCCUGCCCGGUGCCGGAAGGUUAAUUGAUGGGGUUAUCCGUAAGGAGAAGCUCUUGAUCGAAGCCCCGGUAAACGGCGGCCGUAACUAUAACGGUCCUAAGGUAGCGAAAUUCCUUGUCGGGUAAGUUCCGACCUGCACGAAUGGCGUAAUGAUGGCCAGGCUGUCUCCACCCGAGACUCAGUGAAAUUGAACUCGCUGUGAAGAUGCAGUGUACCCGCGGCAAGACGGAAAGACCCCGUGAACCUUUACUAUAGCUUGACACUGAACAUUGAGCCUUGAUGUGUAGGAUAGGUGGGAGGCUUUGAAGCGUGGACGCCAGUCUGCGUGGAGCCAACCUUGAAAUACCACCCUUUAAUGUUUGAUGUUCUAACGUUGGCCCCUUACCGGGGUUGCGGACAGUGUCUGGUGGGUAGUUUGACUGGGGCGGUCUCCUCCCAAAGCGUAACGGAGGAGCACGAAGGUUAGCUAAUCCUGGUCGGACAUCAGGAGGUUAGUGCAAUGGCAUAAGCUAGCUUGACUGCGAGCGUGACGGCGCGAGCAGGUGCGAAAGCAGGUCAUAGUGAUCCGGUGGUUCUGAAUGGAAGGGCCAUCGCUCAACGGAUAAAAGGUACUCCGGGGAUAACAGGCUGAUACCGCCCAAGAGUUCAUAUCGACGGCGGUGUUUGGCACCUCGAUGUCGGCUCAUCACAUCCUGGGGCUGAAGUAGGUCCCAAGGGUAUGGCUGUUCGCCAUUUAAAGUGGUACGCGAGCUGGGUUUAGAACGUCGUGAGACAGUUCGGUCCCUAUCUGCCGUGGGCGCUGGAGAAUUGAGGGGGGCUGCUCCUAGUACGAGAGGACCGGAGUGGACGCAUCACUGGUGUUCGGGUUGUCAUGCCAAUGGCACUGCCCGGUAGCUAAAUGCGGAAGAGAUAAGUGCUGAAAGCAUCUAAGCACGAAACUUGCCCCGAGAUGAGUUCUCCCUGAGACUAUAAGUCUCCUGAAGGAACGUUAAAGACGAUGACGUUGAUAGGCCGGGUGUGUAAGCGCAGCGAUGCGUUGAGCUAACCGGUACUAAUGAACCGUGAGGCUUAACCUU
rnacentral:rRNA from 1 species